ACGCCGCGUGAGUGAUGAAGGUUUUCGGAUCGUAAAGCUCUGUUGUUAGGGAAGAACAAGUACCGUUCGAAUAGGGCGGUACCUUGACGGUACCUAACCAGAAAGCCACGGCUAACUACGUGCCAGCAGCCGCGGUAAUACGUAGGUGGCAAGCGUUGUCCGGAAUUAUUGGGCGUAAAGGGCUCGCAGGCGGUUUCUUAAGUCUGAUGUGAAAGCCCCCGGCUCAACCGGGGAGGGUCAUUGGAAACUGGGGAACUUGAGUGCAGAAGAGGAGAGUGGAAUUCCACGUGUAGCGGUGAAAUGCGUAGAGAUGUGGAGGAACACCAGUGGCGAAGGCGACUCUCUGGUCUGUAACUGACGCUGAGGAGCGAAAGCGUGGGGAGCGAACAGGAUUAGAUACCCUGGUAGUCCACGCCGUAAACGAUGAGUGCUAAGUGUUAGGGGGUUUCCGCCCCUUAGUGCUGCAGCUAACGCAUUAAGCACUCCC
rnacentral:rRNA from 1 species